rnacentral:rRNA from 1 species
UUUUCAAGCAGAAGACGGCAUACGAGAUUUCGCGGAGUGACUGGAGUUCAGACGUGUGCUCUUCCAAUCUGUUUCCCAGUCACGAUACGGGGCGUUAGUCGCAUGCUGUAGACCCGAAACGGGAUGAGCUAUCCAUGGGCAGGAUGAAGCGGGGGUAAAACCUCGUGGAGGUCCGAACCGGUGACGGUUGAAAACGUCUCGGAUGACUUGUGGAUAGGGGUGAAAGGCCAAUCAAAUUCCGUGAUAGCUGGUUCUCUCCGAAAUGCAUUUAGGUGCAGCGUUAGUUGUUUACCAACGGGGGUACAGCACUCACUUGGCUAGGGGUAUUACCGUACUACCAAACCAUAUGAAACUCUGAAUACCGUUGAGUACAGACUAGCAGUGAGUCUACGGAUGCUAAGGUCCGUGGACAAAAGGGAAAGAGCCCAGACCAUCAGCUAAGGUCCCUAAAUUGACGCUAAGUGGGGAAGGUUGUGGAACUACUGUGACAUCCAGGAGGUUGGCUUAGAAGCAGCCAUCCUUUAAAGAAAGCGUAAUAGCUCACUGGACUAGUGGUUCUGCGCCGAAAAUGUAACGGGGCUUAAGUGUCGUACCGAAGCUAUGGACAAUUUAUUGUGGUAGGAGAGCAUUGUGUUUGCUGAUGAAGGCGUACCGUGAGGAGCGCUGGAGGUCUCACAAGAGCUGAUGCUGAAAUGAGUAGCGAUAAGGAGGGCGAGAAUCCCUCCCGCCGUAAAUCCAAGGGUUCCUGGGCCAGGUAAAUCCUCCCAGGGUAAGCCGGAACCUAAGGCGAGGCCGAAAGGCGUAGUCGAUGGACAACAGGUUAAUAUUCCUGUGCUUGGUACGAAACGUUUGACCGAAGGAGUGACGGAGAAAGGUAGUGGAUCGAGAGAUUGGUUGUUCUCGUGUAAGGGUGUAGGUGGCGCUGGUAGGCAAAUCCGCUGGCGUAUUAAACACUGAGGCCUGAUGCCGAUGCGCAAGCAGAAGUCCAUGACCCUCAGCUUCCAAGAAAAGCUUCGUAGGGAGUUUUGUAUUAAUCCGUACCGUAAACCGACACAGGUGGAUGAGGAGAAAAUCCUAAGGCGCUUGGAAAAACUCUAGCUAAGGAACUCUGCAAAUUACUACUGUAACUUCGGGAGAAGGUACGCCCUUGAAUGUGAAGUCACUUGCUGACGUAGCGUUUGAGGGUCGCAGUGAAAUGGGGGUAGCGACUGUUUACCAAAAACACAGGUCUAUGCAAACACGCAAGUGGAAGUAUAUGGGCUGACGCCUGCCCGGUGCUGGAAGGUUAAAAGGUGAGGUUAGACGCAAGUCGAAGCUUUAAAUUGAAGCCCCAGUAAACGGCGGCCGUAACUAUAACGGUCCUAAGGUAGCGAAAUUCCUAGUCGGGUAAGUUCCGACCUGCACGAAUGGCGUAACGACUUCCCCACUGUCUCAGCUAGAGAUCCAGCGAAAUUGGUGAGCGCGUGAAGAAACGCGCUACCCGCGGAAGGACGAAAAGACCCCGUGAACAUUUACUGU